CGAAUACUAGAGAGGCUAGAGUGUAGGGAGAGGAAAGUGGAAUUCCUGGUGUAGCGGUGAAAUGCGUAGAUAUCAGGAGGAACACCGGUGGUGUAAACGGCUUUCUGGACCAUAACUGACGCUGAGGCACGAAAGCGUGGGUAGCAAACAGGAUUAGAUACCCUGGUAGUCCACGCCCUAAACGAUGCAUAUUUGGUGUGGGCCAUUCAUUUGGUCUGUGCCGGAGCUAACGCGUUAAAUAUGCCGCCUGGGGAGUACAGUCGCAAGGCUGAAACUCAAAGGAAUUGACGGGGGCCCGCACAAGCGGUGGAGCAUGUGGUUUAAUUCGACGCAACGCGAAGAACCUUACCUGGGCUCGAAAUGCUAUGGACCAGCUGGUGAAAGCCGGCCUUCCCGCAAGGGACCAUAGUAUAGGUGCUGCAUGGCUGUCGUCAGCUCGUGUCGUGAGAUGUUGGGUUAAGUCCCGCAACGAGCGCAACCCUUGUCCUGUGUU
rnacentral:rRNA from 1 species